rnacentral:rRNA from 1 species
AACGAACGCUGGCGGCAUGCCUAACACAUGCAAGUCGAACGAGACCUUCGGGUCUAGUGGCGCACGGGUGCGUAACGCGUGGGAACCUGCCCUUAGGUUCGGAAUAACUCCCCGAAAGGGGUGCUAAUACCGGAUAAUGUCUUCGGACCAAAGAUUUAUCGCCUUUGGAUGGGCCCGCGUUGGAUUAGCUAGUUGGUAGGGUAAAAGCCUACCAAGGCGACGCUCCAUAGCUGGUCUGAGAGGAUGAUUAGCCACACUGGGACUGAGACACGGCCCAGACUCCUACGGGAGGCCGCAGUGGGGAAUAUUGGACAAUGGGCGAAAGACUGAUCCAGCAAUGCCGCGUGAGUGAUGAAGGCCUUAGGGUUGUAAAGCUCUUUUACCCGGGAUGAUAAUGACAGUACCGGGAGAAUAAGCUCCGGCUAACUCCGUG